AAUAGUACAGGUAGGUCAUAACUUGCCAAAUCCUUUCCCAUGCCAUCAAGAAAAUGCUCAAUAUCCAUUAAGGUAGGAAAGUCUGUUCUUCAGGGGUUAAAAUUUCACACUUGGUAAAAUCCUCAGGCAUUGGAUUUAAAAAUUCUUCCCACAGGUUUUUAACAUCAAGAAGUUCACAGUAAGUCAAUGUACCACCAAAAAUCUUGAUAAAACAAAUAGCCUUUUGAUAUGACACGGCUUCUUCGAGACC
rnacentral:lncRNA from 1 species